rnacentral:sRNA from 1 species
GCUGGGCAUGGUGAGGCAUGCCUGUAAUCCCAGUGACUUGGGAGGCUGAGGCAAGAGGAUUGCAAAUUUGAGGCCAGCUCCUGCAACUUAACAAGACACUGUCUCUA